rnacentral:rRNA from 1 species
GACGGAGGGUGCUAGCGUUGUUCGGAUUUACUGGGCGUAAAGCGCACGUAGGCGGAUUGUUAAGUCGGGGGUGAAAUCCUGGAGCUCAACUCCAGAAUUGCCUUCGAUACUGGCUUUCUAGAGGCUGGAAGAGGUUAGUGGAAUUCCCAGUGUAGAGGUGAAAUUCGUAGAUAUUGGGAAGAACACCAGUGGCGAAGGCGGCUAACUGGUCCAGAUCUAACGCUGAGGUGCGAAAGCGUGGGGAGCAAACAGG